ensembl:lncRNA
AUAAAAUACCGCUCCUUCCAUAUUGAUUGUGCUUUGGCAACUAGAUGCAGUGCUAGGCUUCACUCUGAAAGGUGUUUAAAAAGAAAAACAGGUUUACCCGGGAUUUAUCAUGUAUGGAAAAAUGUAAUAGCUAAGUAGGCUGUCUGCUAAUGUCUGGCAUAAUGUUUCUUCAUAAUGGUUAACCCUUUUGCAGGGAGUGGAAUAAGAGUGCCUCUCUCUCUAGAUGGGAACUUUGCUCCAUGGGACAUUACAGUGGAUGGGGCAUUUCUGUAAGAAAUUAGCAGUGUCGAGACACAGGCUCGAAAGAGAGCCGCGUAUGGCGCUAGUCGCUGCUUCCUCGGGCAGAAAUCUCGCUGGAGCCCAGCACGGCAGUCUCGAGCACGCAGUUCGCUUUCAGACAGACACAGCUUUCGCCUCCUCUCCCAUCUCUCCUCUAUUUUCCCCCUCUCCUCUCUCUUUCUGCUCCUCGUAGAGCAGCGCUUUAAUAAAGUCACAUAAGUGAUUGAAAUUAACAUAAAUCAUUAUUAGUUAUUAGGAUUUGCUCUAAAUUACUCCGUGAAUAUAACACCAAACCCCAUCUGCCACUCCUGCUCUAGCGGCAAUAGAUUGCAGAUAAAAUAAAUGUCCUUACCCCAUUAGAAUGUUCCUGUCUCUGUAGCCAAAAGCCAAACAAAAGCAAUAAAUACCGAGCUUUUUUCUCUCCACUAUUCAGCUGUGACUGUUUUCAUCAGCUCUGCCUCUAGAAAAGCUCGAUAGCUGCCUGAAAAUAUUGCAUUUUAUAUCACCAAAGGGCGAUUAAUAUUGCAUUAACUGUAUUUAACAUUUUUUAAGCGCGAGUAAUCUGAAAUGAGUAAGUUUCUGUUACUAAAUACAGGGGAUGUCAGAGCUGGUGAAAACAGCUUAAAAUAUCUGUAUAAACAGAUUAUUUGUUUCGUACUUUGUAUUUUUAUAAUGUUAUGGUAUAGUGUGCUCUGUUUGAAGUAGAAGAAGCCAUGCUAAUGGUCUGUUUAAAGUAUUCUGACACUGUCUGGAGACAUCCAAGUCUCUGCCUUCAUUAAAUGUUUAUUGUCAACACUUCAGUGAAAAAAAGUCUCGUGUAAGUGAAUUUCCACUGCUGGAUGCUGUCAACACUUUGUUUUAUUCUGAUCCGCGUGUACAAAAGUUUGUAUACAUUAUGCUGAAGUGAAGAGAGGCAGAGAUUUAGU